rnacentral:rRNA from 1 species
UACGGAGGGUGCGAGCGUUGUCCGGAAUCACUGGGCGUAAAGGGCGCGUAGGCGGCAUGCCAAGCGUGUGGUGAAAGCCCGGGGCUCAACCCCGGGUCGGCCGUGCGGACUGGCGUGCUCGAGCACUGUAGGGGCGGGUGGAAUUCCGGGUGUGAGCGGUGAAAUUCGUAGAUAUUCGCAAGAACACCAGUGGCGAAGGCGGCUCACUGGCCCGGAUACUGACGCUGAGGCACGAAAGCGUGGGGACG